rnacentral:rRNA from 1 species
AGUGAACGCUGGCGGUAGGCCUAACACAUGCAAGUCGAACGGCAGCACAGGAGAGCUUGCUCUCUGGGUGGCGAGUGGCGGACGGGUGAGGAAUACAUCGGAAUCUACUCUGUCGUGGGGGAUAACGUAGGGAAACUUACGCUAAUACCGCAUACGACCUACGGGUGAAAGCCGGGGACCGCAAGGCCUGGCACUGAUGGAUGAGCCCAAAUCGGAUUAGCUAGUUGGCGGGGUAACGGCCCACCAAGGCGACGAUCCGUAGCUGGUCUGAGAGGACGAUCAGCCAAACCGGAACGGAGACACGGUCCGGACUCCUACGGGAGGCAGCAGUGGGGAAUAUUGGACAAUGGGGGAAACCCUGAUCCAGCGACGCCGCGUGGGUGAAGAAGGCCUGCGGGUUGUAAAGCCCUUUCGGUAGGGACGAAAGCUCCUGCUCUAAUAAUGCAGGAGGUUGACUUAACCUACAUAAGAAGCACCGGCUAACUCUGUGCCAGCAGCCGCGGUAA